rnacentral:tRNA from 1 species
AAGGUGACUCAGUGAUAAAGUGCUUGCCUGGAAUGCAUGAGGCCCUGGGUUUGAUUCCUAGCCUU